AGCAGCCGCGGUAAUUCCAGCUCCAAUAGCGUAUAUUAAAGUUGUUGCAGUUAAAAAGCUCGUAGUUGAAUUUCGGGAUCAUCAGGUUGGUCGUGCCUCUGGUAUGUACUGAUUUCGAUGGUCCCUCCUUCUUGAAGAGCCGUAAUGCCAUUAAUUUGGUGUUGCGGGGAAUCAGGACUGUUACUUUGAAAAAAUUAGAGUGUUUAAAGCAGGCAAUCGCUUGAAUACAUUAGCAUGGAAUAAUGAAAUAGGACGUUCGAUCCUAUUUUGUUGGUUUCUAGGAUUGACGUAAUGAUUAAUAGGGAUAGUUGGGGGCAUUAGCAUUCAAUUGUCAGAGGUGAAAUUCUUGGAUUUAUUGAAGACUAACUACUGCGAAAGCAUUUGCCAAGGAUGUUUUCAUUAAUCAAGAACGAAAGUUAGGGGAUCGAAGACGAUCAGAUACCGUCGUAGUCUUAACCAUAAACUAUGCCGACUAGGGAUCGGAUGAUGUUAAUUUUUAAUGA
rnacentral:rRNA from 1 species